CGAGUCCGAGUCUCCACGGAGACGAAGUGGCGGUCAUCCAGCUUCCUAGAAAAGCUCUAACCACGUUAAUCUUUAGUUGCCUGUACCCGAAACCGACACAGGUAGGGGGGUAGAGAAUACCAAGGGGCGCGAGAUAACUCUCUCUAAGGAACUCGGCAAAAUGACCCCGUAACUUCGGGAGAAGGGGUACCACUGAGAAGUGGUCGCAGUGAAGAGGCCCAGGCGACUGUUUACCAAAAACACAGGUCUCCGCCAAGUCGCAAGACGAAGUAUGGGGGCUGACGCCUGCCCAGUGCCGGAAGGUUAAGGAAGUGGGUUAGGGAUUCGUCCCGAAGCUGACGACUGAAGCCCCGGUGAACGGCGGCCGUAACUAUAACGGUCCUAAGGUAGCGAAAUUCCUUGUCGGGUAAGUUCCGACCCGCACGAAAGGCGUAACGAUCUGGGCGCUGUCUCGGAGAGAGGCUCGGCGACAUAGGAAUGUCUGUGAAGAUACGGACUACCUGCAUCUGGACAGAAAGACCCUAUGAAGCUUUACUGUAGCUUGGAAUUGGGUUCGGGCUUCCCUUGCGCAGCAUAGGUGGGAGGCGUUGAAGAUUUGCUUGUGGGUGAAUCUGAGCCAACGGUGAGAUACCACUCUAACCAGGCUAGAAUUCUAACUUCAACCCGUCAACCGGGGGAAGGACAGUUUCAGGUGGGCAGUUUGACUGGGGCGGUCGCCUCCUAAAAGAUAACGGAGGCGCACAAAGGUUCCCUCAGGCUGGUUGGAAAUCAGCCAACGAGUGCAAAGGCAGAAGGGAGCUUGACUGCGAGACCUACAAGUCAAGCAGGGUGGAAACACGGUCUUAGUGAUCCGACGGCACCGAGUGGAAGGGCCGUCGCUCAACGGAUAAAAGUUACUCUAGGAUAACAGGCUGAUCUCCCCCAAGAGUUCACAUCGACGGGGAGGUUUGGCACCUCGAUGUCGGCUCAUCGCAACCUGGGGCGGAAGUACGUCCCAAGGGUUGGGCUGUUCGCCCAUUAAAGCGGUACGUGAGCUGGGUUCAGAACGUCGUGAGACAGUUCGGUCCAUAUCCGGUGUAGGCGCAAGAACAUUGAGAGGAGUCUUCCUUAGUACGAGAGGACCGGGAAGAACGCACCGCUGGUGUACCUGUUAUCGUGCCAACGGUAAACGCAGGGUAGCCAAGUGCGGAGUGGAUAACCGCUGAAAGCAUCUAAGUGGGAAGCCCACCUCAAGAUGAGUGUUCUCAUGGAGUAAUCCAGUAAGGUCACGGGAAGACGACCCGUUGAUAGGCGGUAGGUGGAAGUUCAGCAAUGGAUGAAGCCGAGCCGUACUAACAGACCGGGGGCUUGAC
rnacentral:rRNA from 1 species